rnacentral:rRNA from 1 species
GACGAACGCUAGCGGCGUGCCUAAUACAUGCAAGUCGAACGCUUCUUUUUCCACCGGAGCUUGCUCCACCGGAAAAAAAAGAGUGGCGAACGGGUGAGUAACACGUGGGUAACCUGCCCAUCAGAAGGGGAUAACACCUGGAAACAGGUGCUAAUACCGUAUAACAAUCGAAACCGCAUGGUUUUGAUUUGAAAGGCGCUUUCGGGUGUCGCUGAUGGAUGGACCCGCGGUGCAUUAGCUAGUUGGUGAGGUAACGGCUCACCAAGGCCACGAAGAAUAGCCGACCUGGGAGGGUGAUCGGCCACAUUGGGACUGAGACACGGCCCAAACUCCUACGGGAGGCAGCAGUAGGGAAUCUUCAGCAAUGGACGAAAGUCUGACCGAGCAACGCCGCGUGAGUGAAGAAGGUGUUCGGAUCGUAAAACUCUGUUGUUAGAGAAGAACAAGGAUGAGAGUAACUGUUCAUCCCUUGACGGUAUCUAACCAGAAAGCCACGGCUAACUACGUGCCAGCAGCCGCAGUAA